rnacentral:rRNA from 1 species
GACGAACGCUGGCGGCGUGCUUAACACAUGCAAGUCGAACGGUAAGGCCCUUCGGGGUACACGAGUGGCGAACGGGUGAGUAACACGUGGGUGAUCUGCCCUGCACUUCGGGAUAAGCCUGGGAAACUGGGUCUAAUACCGGAUAGGACUCCGGACUGCAUGGUCUGGGGUGGAAAGCUUUUGCGGUGUGGGAUGGGCCCGCGGCCUAUCAGCUUGUUGGUGGGGUGAUGGCCUACCAAGGCGACGACGGGUAGCCGGCCUGAGAGGGUGACCGGCCACACUGGGACAGAGAUACGGCCCAGACUCCUACGGGAGGCAGCAGUGGGGAAUAUUGCACAAUGGGCGCAAGCCUGAUGCAGCGACGCCGCGUGAGGGAUGACGGCCUUCGGGUUGUAAACCCCUUUCAGCAUCGACGAAGCGAAAGUGACGGUAGGUGCAGAAGAAGGACCGGCCAACUACGUGCCAGCAGCCGCAGUAA